AGAAUGAACGUUGGCGGCGUGGAUUAGGCAUGCAAGUCGCGCGAGAAAUUUCCUUCGGGGAAUGGACAGUGGCGGAAGGGAGAGGAAUAAGUAGAAAUCUGCCCUCGGGACGGGGAUAGCGGCGGGAAACUGCCGGUAAUACCCGAUAACAUCUUAGGAUCAAAUGGUGUGAUUCCGCCUGAGGAUGAGUCUACUUCCUAUUAGCUAGUUGGUGGGGUAAUAGCCUACCAAGGCAACGAUGGGUAGCGGGUGUGAGAGCACGACCCGCCUCACUGGGACUGAGACACUGCCCAGACACCUACUGGUGGCUGCAGUCGAGAAUCUUCGGCAAUGGGGGAAACCCUGACCGAGCGACGCCGCGUGCGGGAUGAAGGCCCUCGGGUUGUAAACCGCUGUCGUAAGGGAACAAAUCUAGGGGGUACUCCCCUUAGUUGAGUGAUCUUAGGAGGAAGGACGGGCUAAGUUCGUGCCAGCAGCCGC
rnacentral:rRNA from 1 species